rnacentral:rRNA from 1 species
GAGACACGGCCCAGACUCCUACGGGAGGCAGCAGUGGGGAAUUUUCCGCAAUGGGCGCAAGCCUGACGGAGCAACGCCGCGUGUGGGAUGAAGGCCUGUGGGUUGUAAACCACUUUUCUCAGGGACGAACACAAUGACGGUACCUGAGGAAUCAGCCUCGGCUAACUCUGUGCCAGCAGCCGCGGUAAGACAGAGGAGGCAAGCGUUAUCCGGAAUUAUUGGGCGUAAAGCGUCCGUAGGUGGUCUAGCAAGUCUGGGGUUAAAGCCCGGAGCCCAACUCCGGAUCGGCCUUGGAAACUGCCAGACUCGAGUAAGGUAGGGGUUGCGGGAAUUCCCGGUGUAGCGGUAAAAUGCGUAGAUAUCGGGAAGAACACCAGCGGCGAAAGCGCGCAACUGGGCCAUUACUGACACUGAGGGACGAAAGCUAGGGGAGCGAAUGGGAUUAGAUACCCCAGUAGUCCUAGCCGUAAACGAUGGUGACUAGAUGUGGCUCGUAUUGACCCGAGCCGUGUCGUAGCUAACGCGAUAAGUCACCCGCCUGGGGAGUACGCACGCAAGUGUGAAACUCAAAGGAAUUGACGGGGGCCCGCACAAGCGGUGGAGCAUGUGGAUUAAUUCGAUGCAACGCGAAGAACCUUACCAGGGCUUGACAUCCUGCGAACCCCGCUGAAAGGUGGGGGUGCCUUCGGGAGCGCAGAGACAGGUGGUGCAUGGCUGUCGUCAGCUCGUGUCGUGAGAUGUUGGGUUAAGUCCCGCAACGAGCGCAACCCGCGUCCUUAGUUGCCAGCAUUUAGUUGGGCACUCUGGGGAGACUGCCGGUGACAAGCCGGAGGAAGGUGCGGAUGACGUCAAGUCAGCAUGCCCCUUACGCCCUGGGCGUCACACGUGCUACAAUGGCCAGCACAAAGGGUAGCC